GGUUGUAUGGUGUAGGGGUUAGCACAUCGGAUUCUGAUACCAAAAACUUCCGGGGACCCCGGUUCGAUUCCGUAAGUUUA